rnacentral:rRNA from 1 species
UACGGGGGGAGCAAGCGUUGUUCGGAUUUACUGGGCGUAAAGGGCGCGUAGGCGGUCAGCACAAGUCAGUUGUGAAAUCUCCGGGCUUAACUCGGAAAGGUCAACUGAUACUGUGCGACUAGAGUGCGGAAGGGCAACUGGAAUUCUCGGUGUAGCGGUGAAAUGCGCAGAUAUCAGGAGGAACACCGGUGGCGAAGGCGGGUCUCUGGGCCGAUACUGACGCUGAGGAGCGAAAGCGUGGGGAGCAAACAGG